rnacentral:rRNA from 1 species
GAUGAACGCUGGCGGUAUGCUUAACACAUGCAAGUCGAACGGACUCUUCGGAGUUAGUGGCGGACGGGUGAGUAACGCGUGAGAAUCUGGCUUUGGGUUCGGGACAACCACUGGAAACGGUGGCUAAUACCGGAUGUGCCGAGAGGUAAAAGAGAAAUUGCCUGAAGAUGAGCUCGCGUCUGAUUAGCUAGUUGGUGAGGUAAAGGCUCACCAAGGCAGCGAUCAGUAGCUGGUCUGAGAGGAUGACCAGCCACACUGGGACUGAGACACGGCCCAGACUCAUACGGGAGGCAGGAGUGGGGAAUUUUCCGCAAUGGGCGAACGCCUGACGGAGCAAUACCGCGUGAGGGAAGAAGGCUCUUGGGUUGUACACCUCUUUUCUUAGGGAAGAACAAAAUGACGGUACCUAAGGAAUCAGCAUCGGCUAACUACGUG